GACGAACGCUGGCGGCGUGCUUAACACAUGCAAGUCGAACGAUGAACCCGGAGCUUGCUCCGGUGGAUUAGUGGCGAACGGGUGAGUAACACGUGAGUAACCUGCCCUUGACUCUGGGAUAACUGCGGGAAACUGUAGCUAAUACCGGAUACGACCCUCGGCGGCAUCGCCAGGGGGUGGAAAGACUUUCGGUCAAGGAUGGACUCGCGGCCUAUCAGCGAGUUGGUGAGGUAACGGCUCACCAAGGCGACGAAGGGUAGCCGGCCUGAGAGGGUGACCGGCCACACUGGGACUGAGACACGGCCCAGACUCCGACGGGAGGCAGCAGUGGGGAAUAUUGCACAAUGGGCGCAAGCCUGAUGCAGCAACGCCGCGUGAGGGAUGACGGCCUUCGGGUUGUAAACCCCUUUUGUCAGAGAAUCCUCGUAAGAGGGUACGGUAUCUGGCGAAUAAGCAUCUGCUAACCACGUGCCAGCAGCCGCGGUAA
rnacentral:rRNA from 1 species